GAGGGUCUGAGGGUCCUAAGGUAGGGGUCAAGGGCCCUAAGAAGGCAUGGCUGGUCCUAGGUGGUACAGAAAUAUUGCACUUUUUUAACAACUGAAGCAGCUAUAGUAGUGUGUCCCUGCUGGCCCUCGGCCCUGUGGGUUGGGGUAAUGUGGCAGGAGGAAGGUGACCCUCACUCUCCCCAGCCUCUGCUGUGUUGCAGGGGACGCUAUGAAGCACAUCAAGGUUCCAACUUAUGCCAAGGUCCAGUCCAUCACAAAGGUGUUUUACACCAAAAGUGGCAUCUGCCAUUUCCCACAGCAAACAGACUAGCUCACUUCUCUUGCAGAAUCCCAGACAUGUCGAAUGAUUGUCCGUGGACCCAUCUGAUGUUGGUGCUCACAGAAUCUGAUUGCUUAGAAGGCCUCGGGCAGCAGCAAGUCUUCAAGCUCCUUAGAAAAGGAAUGGCUGCAGCAUUUCUCAACUGGGAUUCUGUGAAUAAAUGAAACCCUACAGAAAAUGACACCAGUGACUUUUCUCAGUCCUCCCAGGAAUGACACCAUUCUACAGGCAUGGGAAAGAAGUUGAUUCAUUACAAACAGGGGCUGUCCCCGAAUGUUAGGGCUUAAUUCUUUCUGGGAAGUCAGUUAAGAAAGGCUGGUGGAGAGUUUAUUUAGGUAUUUAAUGAAUACCUGUUUGAUAUCUGCGGGCAUCGUUCUAAGCCCUACACUGUCCAGUUCGGUAGUCAUGAUCCAACCACAUGUCCAUUGAGCAUUUGCAAUGAGUCUUAUCCAAAUUGUGAUGUACUCUAAGUAUAAAACACACACUGAAUUUCAAAGAUUUAGUAUAAUGAAACGUAAAAUUUCUCAUUAAUAAUUUUUAUAUUGAAUUUUAUGUUGAAAUGACCAUACUUGGAUAGAUUGGGCUAAAUCAGAGGUUGACAAACUUUCCCUGUAAAGGACUGGAUAGUAAGAAUUUUCAGCUUUGUGGAUCACCUGGUCUCAACUAUGCAACUACUCAACUCUGCCAUUGCAGUGCAAAAUCAGCCAUAGACAAUACAAAAACAAAUGGGCAUGGCUUGUUCCAAUAAAACUUUAUUUAAAAAAACAGAUGGUGGGCCAGAUUUCCCCCACAGGCUGUAUAGUUUGCUGAUUUCUGUGUUAAAUAAAAUAUUAAAUAUAUUAA
rnacentral:sRNA from 1 species